rnacentral:lncRNA from 1 species
GCUUAUGUCACAAUCCCUGUCUCUCUACCAUGCUAGGUAGAUAGCAGGAUGCGGCCUUGUGGGUGGUAGCUGGUAUGUUGGUGGAAACUCCAUGCUUCCAUGGAACCAGCUGUAGAGGAGUGGUGAUGCAAUGAGCAUCCUGGAAGUUUAGUUGUCAUUUGUCACCUUUUGGAUAAUGGAGUAGAUUUCUGAAGCUAUUUCUCCUUGUUUGGUGUUCUGCCUGCAAUUUGGACAAGUGGACUUCAGAUUAUGUCUUCGUAGACUGAAAGGCUUGGGACUACUUUGGUUUUCUGGGGGUCCACUUCAGACCCUAGUUGCCUUGGUUUUUCCCAUACCUGGAGAUGUCACCAGUGAAGCCUGGGAAACAGCAAAGAGGGCAGCCUGAUCGUUCAUCUGGAAACUUUGUUCCAGCAUAAGAAGCCUCUCACCCUAAACAUCACAGCUGGGAAUAUGCUGGACCACAACUAAAGCCAGCAUGGCACUGACUCUGACCAAAGAGAAGCCUGAAGUGCUCUGAAGGCUGCCAACAAAAUGUCAAGUGAGUCCACUGACAAAAAGGAAGAGAAACCUUGGAAAAACAUUAUUGCUUAUGUUCCAUCUGAAUCUGAGCAGCUGACCUGAGGAAGGAGGGAAGCACAGGGAAGUGGAACAUCAGAGAGGAGAAGCCUGGCUCAACUUGGCAGAGAAGGCAUCUUCAGAGAAGGAGUGCCCACACUGACACCUGAAUGAUGACUAGUGCUUAACCAGAUGAACUGGAUGAGAAAGGCAUUUCAGACACAGGGCAUAGCAUGAACAAGGGUCCAGAGAUGAGGGUGCAAGCAGAGUCCAGGGUGCACAGGGAGUUCAGUACAGCUGGAGCUCAGAUGCUAGGGAGAGGAGUAGGGAGAAAAGAGGCUCCAUUACAAAAAUGUAGGCAUGAGAUCAAAGGGAACCUGGAGUACUAUGCUAAGGGGACUCAAUCCUAGGUGAUGGGGAGGCAUUGAAGGAUUUAGGUGAGAUUGGCAUUUAGGAAGCUCACUUGAAGCAGUGUUGAAUGGGUAGGAGUGGGGUAAGACUGGAGCUGGUGCAGCAAUAUGGGUGAGUGUAGCUGUGUGUGAAAAAAGGUCCGAGUUUAAUGGGAAAACUAAGGAGUGUGGGGUGGGAGGAAACUUGAUGAGAGAGGAUUUCCAAGGAUAAUAUUCUAGAUGUGUGGGUUGAUGACAAUGCUGAGAGCAGGGACAGAGGAAGAGAAGCAGGCUUGCUGGGGGGAAAUGAUGAACUUCUUGAGGUUCUUACCAGACACCUAAGUGGAGAUGCCCUUUGGGUGCCACAUGCGCCCACACUGCUGAUAAGGGAUCUGCAUAGUGGGGGGAGAUUUGGAAGUCAAUGAAGCCACAGAUAGGGAUGAGCUUUUCAAAGAAGAGUGUGUGGAGUGAAAGGGUUAGGGACAUAGAACCAAACCCUGAGACCCACUCCACUGAAGGCAAAGAAGAGGAGGAGUAUACAGAGAACACAAGGAAGAAGUGGUCAAAACGUAGAAGGAAGAUUGGUCUCCAGGGGUGGGGGGGGGGGGUCCUGAAUUUGAGCAUGAUUUUUAGUGCACAAUAGAUCCCACAGAGCUUUCAAGAAACACUUGGUGGUUGGUGAAGACCCAAAUAAUGGUGAGUGUGUUUUACAUUUUAGAGUUCCAGGUAAUUUUCCUUCUUGGUAUCAUCUGGUUAUGGUAUAUAAUUUGGAGGAAAAAACUACUUUCAUUCACUUUUUAUUUUUCCUCAGAAAGACUUGAAGAAAUACAAAACCAUAGGACUUUUGGUAUGUGAUGGAGACAUUCCAUACAAUUAGUACAGAACAUAGACAAAUGGAAAAUAUUGUGUUUUGCUUGAAAUUAUCUCUGUGGACUAAAAUGUAAACCUAGAUUUUGCAUAUGCAUGUGUAUUUAUUAAUGACAUUAUUUAACUCUCAUUCUAGAUAGUUUUGUGUUGAACUCUAUUUAGAUGAGUAGAGACAUACUAAUUAUCUCAGUUAAUUAGCCAAAAUAAAUCUACAUAGUUUAACACAUCAAAGAUUUAUUUUCCACUCAUGGUUUAUAUUUACUAUGGGUCAGUGGGAGUUAUGCUCCACAUGAUUACUCAGGGAUUCACUCUGACAUGGGUCCACCGUAUUUUUUUUUUUUUUUUGAGACAGAGUAUUUUUAGUAGAGACGGGGUUUCACCAAGUUGGCCAGGCUGGUCUCAAGCUCCUGACCUCAGGUGAUUCACUCACCUCAGCCUCCCAAAGUUCUGGGAUUACAGGUGUGAGCCAUUGCCAGGCCCACCAUCUUAAAACUGCACCAUCCUCAGCAGGGGAAAAAGAGAGAUGCUGUAUCACAUCCUGUCUCUGCAAUGCUUUGUCUGGGAAGGGGCACGUACCGCUUUGAUCCACAGCACAUUGGCCAGGACUAAGCAUGCAGUCUCAUCUAAUUGCAUGGAGGAGCACAAUUCCUCCAUGGCAGGUGGUACAGUUCUCUGCCACACUCGAUAUUGUAUAAAUCCAGGGUCCCAGAAGAUAGAAGGCAGCAAAAUAUAAGGAAAUUAAUGAUACCUUACAAUUAAUAUUAACAGUAUUACCAAAAUACUUUUCUUAAAAAUUAUGUAAACCCAGUGUGCAUCUAUAUAAUUUUACAAUAUCUAGUUUCAUUAGAAGCAAUUUAUUUUUUAAAACCCAGUUCUUUGGAUUUAGAAAUAUUAUUUGUAAUAUUGUAAUACCACAUUAACAUUACAUUUAUAUAUUUUCCAGUAUCAAUUUAAUUAAGAGUAACUAGACUGUAUUUUAUUGUUGUUUUUAUAUGAAAAUAAGUAUAAAAAUGUAGAAAAUUGCAGUCAUAAAAAGUUUCAGCUACUUUGCCUCUGCCAUAAAACCUAAUCUUGGUAUAAUUAAAAUAUGUCAUGAUAUAUUUCUAUCUUUGCUUUCUGUAGAAACUGUGCAAAUGCUAGACAGAUAAAUCACACAGUCACUUAUAAAGAAUUGAAUUUCAACAAAAAAAAUUACCAAUAGAUGUUUUUUUCUUAUUUCAGUUUAUAAGGAAAUUGCUAGACUAUGAAAAGUUAAAUUUCCCAGUUUUAUUAUACAAUAUGUUUUUAUUUCUUUUGAACUAAAGCAUUCAAUAAAAAGUUCCCAAGUUUGAAAUUACCAAUCAUUUAGAGAGAAUAAAGCUCAUGUGUAAGAUUUGUUUUCUUAGAAGACAAGUUAGGGAAUAGUUCUGUUUUCUUUUCUUGGCUCAGAUUCUACAACUUCAUGGUGGAAAUUUUAUCCUUGAAC